rnacentral:rRNA from 1 species
AUGGCCGCCAAGGACCCUUUGUAUCUUGAGACCACUACUCUCCUUAAUCAAGAGAUCCAGCAAAAGGAGCUUCGCUUCAAACUCUACUUGUUCCAGCACACUCAAGGCGAGCGAAACAGGAACGAGCGUGCUGUAUUGUCUAUGCAUGCCCCCCAUGAGUUUGGCUCCAUUGUCGUUCAUGACUGGACCAUACGGGAUGGUCCUAACCUCCAAGAUAAAAUUGUUGCGAACGCCCAAGGCAUGCAUCUCGGGGCCGGUAUGAACGAAACAAACUGGUUUACCAGUUUCAACAUAAUUUUCGCUGACGAGAGGUUCAAGGGAUCCACUCUUCAGGUGCUCGGAACUACGAGCAUAAGUGACAGUGAAUGGGCGAUAACUGGGGGCACCGGAGAGUUUGCCUUUGCACAGGGUGUUGCCACUCACAUAAAAAGCGAAGAAUAUGGUGAUGCUGGCCGUGUCUGGGAGCUCCAAAUCCGUGCUACGUGCCUCACCUUCCCCAAACCAGUCCUUGUAACCAAGAUUGGACCAUGGGGUGGGAAUGGAGGAAAAGAAUUUGACAUCCCAGAGUCGGUACCUCAACGGCUAGAAAGUGUGACAAUUAGAAGUGGUGUUGCCAUUGACUCAAUUGCGUUCUCCUACAUUAAUCAAGCUGGAAAGAAGCAAACUCUUGGUCCAUGGGGUGGCGAUGGUGAACUUACUGACACGAUCACUUUUGCCCCUUUAGAGAUUGUGAAGGAAGUUUCAGGAACAAGCGGUACUUUCGGUGGAGAUACUGUUGUGACAUCGCUUACUUUUGUCACAAAUGUGAGGACAUAUGGACCUUUUGGAAAACCAAAUGGUACUGCUUUCAGUGCCCCUCUUACGGACACUAACGUCGUGGGCUUCUUCGUGCAUGCUGGAAGACUUGUUAAUGCGGUUGGAGUUUAUGCGCGCCCUUCUGUUCAAAAUUAUUAG